UACGUAGGGUGCGAGCGUUAAUCGGAAUUACUGGGCGUAAAGCGUGCGCAGGCGGCUUUGCAAGACAGAUGUGAAAUCCCCGGGCUCAACCUGGGAACUGCAUUUGUGACUGCAAGGCUGGAGUGCGGCAGAGGGGGAUGGAAUUCCGCGUGUAGCAGUGAAAUGCGUAGAUAUGCGGAGGAACACCGAUGGCGAAGGCAAUCCCCUGGGCCUGCACUGACGCUCAUGCACGAAAGCGUGGGGAUCAAACAGG
rnacentral:rRNA from 1 species